GACGAACCGUGCGAACGUUGUUCGGAAUCACUGGGCUUAAAGGGCGCGUAGGCGGCGGAUCAAGUCCGGGGUGAAAGCCCCCAGCUCAACUGGGGAAGUGCCUUGGAUACUGAUUCGCUCGAGGGAGGUAGGGGUCGCGGGAACUUCCGGUGGAGCGGUGAAAUGCGUUGAUAUCGGAAGGAACGCCGGUGGCGAAAGCGACUUCCUGGACCAGUACCGACGUUCAGGCACGAAAGCGUGGGGAGCAAACAGG
rnacentral:rRNA from 1 species